rnacentral:rRNA from 1 species
GAGUUUGAUCCUGGCUCAGAUUGAACGCUGGCGGCAUGCCUUACACAUGCAAGUCGAACGGCAGCACGGGCUUCGGCCUGGUGGCGAGUGGCGAACGGGUGAGUAAUACAUCGGAACGUGCCCUGUCGUGGGGGAUAACUAGUCGAAAGAUUAGCUAAUACCGCAUACGACCUGAGGGUGAAAGCGGGGGACCGUAAGGCCUCGCGCGAUAGGAGCGGCCGAUGUCUGAUUAGCUAGUUGGUGGGGUAAGAGCCUACCAAGGCGACGAUCAGUAGCUGGUCUGAGAGGACGAUCAGCCACACUGGGACUGAGACACGGCCCAGACUCCUACGGGAGGCAGCAGUGGGGAAUUUUGGACAAUGGGGGCAACCCUGAUCCAGCAAUGCCGCGUGUGUGAAGAAGGCCUCGGUUGUAAG